GGGGGGGGGGGGAAAAAUUUUUUUUUUAUGCAAUAAAAAAAAGUNNGGCCUAGCGGACAAAAUAGUUUUUGUAUCGACGUACAAAUAAAAUAUACCUCACUUAAGACGGGCCACUAAAUUGCAAAUUGCCGGCGCUCUUUAGCACGUUUCCAUCGUAUUAUCAAACGGAGAAUUAACUUCCGACCUUACUUACCUAUAUGCAUUAAUAAAGACAGAGUAAACAUAUAUAUAUUCAACCGAAAAUCCACGUUUCUGGAUUUAUCAUUAUUUUCUGUUUUUCUGGGAUAACUCGAAAUAAAAAUACCCCCCAAAUAAUUAAAUAAAUAAUAACUGAAAUUUCUUAAGCCAACCCCGCGGGAUCCUUAUAUAAAUAGAAGGAAUAAAAUAUAUCUUUAAAUAAGAAAAUUUACUAGUUAAAUCUACUAUGCUUCUUUGUCAAUGGUAUCCCUAUUGUCCGAUUAAAAAAGUCUCUCAGGUUUAAUUACUCUUUCCAAUCGUGGAGCUACAACCGAAUUUUAUAGGAUUCCCACAUCACCAAGAACUCCCAACCAAACAAGUUGGUAAUUUUAAAAUGCACUAGACUCAAGUCUGUCC
rnacentral:rRNA from 1 species